AGGUGCUUCGGAAGAGAUGAUGGUCCAAGUCCCUUGGAACAGGGCGUCACAGAGGGUGAGAAUCCCGUAUGUGACCAAUCAUCGAUUCCAUGUGAAGCCCUUUCGACGAGUCGAGUUGUUUGGGAAUGCAGCUCUAAAUGGGUGGUAAAUUUCAUCUAAAGCUAAAUACCUGCCAGAGACCGAUAGCGCACAAGUAGAGUGAUCGAAAGAUGAAAAGCACUUUGAAAAGAGAGUCAAACAGUACGUGAAAUUGUUGAAAGGGAAGCGCUUGCAAUCAGACUCGUUUGCAGAUGCUCAGCCUUCCUUCGGGACGGUGUAUUCAUCUGUAGACGGGCCAGCAUCAGUUUCGACGGCUGGAUAAAGGUUCUGGGAACGUAGCUCUCUUCGGAGAGUGUUAUAGCCCGGAGCGUAAUGCGGCCAGUCGAGACUGAGGUCCGCGCUUUUGCUAGGAUGCUGGCGUAAUGGUUGCUAGCGACCCGUCUUGAAACACGG
rnacentral:rRNA from 1 species